CCUAGCCGGAGCUGAAGCUCCAUGGAUUAAAAAAUGCUCGACGCAGGCAUGGAGGUGCUGGCGGUUUGUUCCAGAUCUGUGCAAGGGGCGGCACCAUGUGAUUCAAUUUUGAAUAGCCCUUUUGUGUAAUCUGCCCGCUCAUCCAAGCUACCACGUCGCUCAUUGAUCGCUUCAAGCCCCAGGCCGCCAAAGCACGGGCUUAAUUCUGGAGCCCCUAAUGAAGGAAGAGGUCCUCAUAUGCAAGAUCCUGGUGCCGAGCGACAAAUUUCUUUUGGCCA